rnacentral:rRNA from 1 species
UACGUAGGGUGCAAGCGUUAAUCGGAAUUACUGGGCGUAAAGCGUGCGCAGGCGGUUUUGUAAGUCAGAUGUGAAAUCCCCGGGCUUAACCUGGGAACUGCGUUUGAAACUACAAGGCUAGAGUGUAGCAGAGGGGGGUGGAAUUCCACGUGUAGCAGUGAAAUGCGUAGAGAUGUGGAGGAACACCGAUGGCGAAGGCAGCCCCCUGGGUUAACACUGACGCUCAGGCACGAAAGCGUGGGGAGCAAGCAGG